rnacentral:lncRNA from 1 species
AAAAACAUUUAUUUCAUUUUAUGAGAGUGUUUAAAACAUGUUUACUAGUAGCUAAGUAUGACUCUAUAAAAAAGUAUGGAAAAUUGUUUUUCCUGACUUAUGUUAAAAAGAUCACAAGCAUAUAUGACUUAUGUCUAAGCACAACCAGGUAUUUUAGUUUGUUACAACACAAUAUUUUCUUCCAUCAAUCCAUAUUAGCUACAUUUUCCUUACUAGGCAAAUAUAUAUAAAAUUUAUGGAAAACAUCAAUUUGGUAUUAAUGUUGGUAGAGAAACUAAGUCAUCUUUUUCUUUUGAUAUAGGUAAAGGCAAUAGUGAUAUAACUGGGAUGUUACUAGGUAUAAAGGAUGGGUGCGGCCCAAAAGAUCAACUGUCAUCAACACGCCUAAUUUCAUGCGCAACUUUGAUAUAUCCAAAAAGCAUAGGCACCAAGUUAGAUACGACUCUAUCAUAUUCACAGCAAUUCGCAUACAUAAUAUUAAGAAAAAUAAAUAUUUAGAAUAUUAUAGAAAUUGAAUCAAUGAUGUAUCAAAGUUGCGCGUGUAGUUAGGAGUCUUGAUGACAAUUGAGAUUUUGGGGGCUACCCAUAAAGGAUGCCCUCCGUCUCAAAUGUAUUUUUGUGAAAUUCUGAUUCCAUUUGUAAGGUGUCUUUGUAGGAAACCAUUCCAAAUUCCAUAUCAUAGCGGAGCCACCUUUUGUCCAACCAUUUAAGCUGCUUUCCAAUAAAUAAAUAUAAAAAAAAGAUUAAAAAAAAACACAACGAAAGGAAAUGAUUCCAAAUAGAAAUAGAAAUCGUUAAAAACUUAGAUAUAGGUAUAUAAAACAGAUCUUUGUAAAAUUGAAGCAGGCUUGUGAUUGGAUACCUACCUAAACAAACCAGUAGAAAGCAGGAAGCACUCCUUUAGAGCUUCAGCAUAAAUAAUACAAAUAAUUCCAAAAAGGUAAGAUGACGAAUGGACAUUGACUCCGAAGCCAAUAAUGCUCAAACACACACACAAAAGCUGCUUUCCAUCUACAUCUUUAUUUCUUAAUACCAAAGUCAAAAGUCCAAAAAGUUAGUAUUUCCACAACUUGAAAUUUGUUACUACUGGCCUAAUAAGUUAUCUCCAGUCAUGAGGAUGAUAUAUCUGGAUUUCUGUUUUCUUUUUCUUCUUUUUUUUAUCCCAUGAACUGUUAGACUUCUAAAUGGCUAUGUCCGGGAACCAUAAAUUUGAUCGUCGAUUCUCUCUUUCAACUUAUGUAUAGCCCACAUAAACAUAGAGCUCACAUGAAAAUUUAUAUUCUGACCCCACAGAUAUCAGAGUAAAAUAUUACACUUCUUGUGUUAUUAGGUAGGUCUGUUUGAAUAUGUUAGGAGUAGUUUCAUACCCCACAUAACAUACAGUUCUUCCGGUCUUAUUGUCGUGUAUAGUCAAAUUGAACGUCCACAACUGACGUUUAUAAAAAGCUACAGAAGAAGUCAAUGAUGGAGUCGGUAAACACUGUUGUAAAUAAAUUGUAUAGACUUGUACGGUACUAUCAUUUUGAUAUAUCUGUGUGUCGUUUUUUUUAGAUUCGUAAGCUUGAUCUGCUGUCAUUUUAUGAUUAUCAGGGUUGAGAAGUUAUUUCAGUUUUGGUUUGGUUAUCUUGACAAAGUUGAAUUUGUAUUUUAAACUUAUCACAAAUGUAGCAUGUAUCAACGGGGGUUUUUUGAAAGACAACCCUAAUUGGUUAAAUGCUUGGCUGUAAAUUUUGAUUGAAGGAGGUUUGAUAGACAAAUAGUUGAUAUAUUUUGGUGAUUGUUAGAUGGGAAAUACUUCUUUGAUGUACUCUUUUUUGUGUACGACGGAAAAGACAAAAUAUGGUUUUUUAUUUAGGUUCUUCUUAGGUUCUUAGGUUAGGUAGUUAUUUAUUUUGGUUCUUCCUUUUGUCAUCGGAUAUAUUAUUUUUAGGUACAGUUGUUCCACGCAUAUCAUUAAUUUUUGUACGACCUACUGAAGACCGUUUCUUCAUUGCCACAGUUUUUAUAAAAUUAUCGCUUUCGUCAAAGAUUUUUAGAAAACAACCCCUACAAAUAGGUUAAAGCGGUCCAUCUAUUACAACAAACUAUGUAUACGUCUUCAUACGAUAUUUCUGUUUUCAGGAUCUAUUGCGUGUUGUUUUUGAGUAGCUUUUUCUUCAAUCUCUAUUAAUGAUGACAUGUAAGCAGACUUUUUUUUGUAUGUACCCAUUAGCCAAUAUUGAAUAUUAUUCAUGGCUCUUUUAGCCAUGUUUUAAGUAGGUACCUAAAACUAAAUAUCUGUAUAUUCUUAAACAAGUAAGACGAUAACGGCAAGCACUUGAGGUAGGGGAAUGGGGGGCAUGACGGGGUGUCUCGAGGUAAGACGGGGUACCGCACACAAACAAGAAACUACACGUUGGUGAAUAGCAUGCAGUAACUCAAUAGGAAGAGUCAUUCGAUUAACGGUCCCUGCAAGAAAAACCGUGAAUGAGAGUGCACGCGUUUUUUGUUUACAAACGGAAAACUGUUUUAGCGAUCCGUUGAUCUAAUUUUGUGCAAGGACAACCAUCGUUAUUUUAAGAUAAUACCAUGGUACGUACUUACAAGAAAAAAAAACAAAAAGAGGAGAGUGGUCGAGAGAUGCUAUGAAAACAGCCAUAGAUAAAGUGACAUCGUCAGAACCCUCGGUAGGCUGCCAGAUCUGUGGAUGUUGAGCUCACAAUGCUUGUGCUAGGGUGGACAAUGAAGAUCUGGAGCAAAUACACAUUUUUGUUUGUUUUGUGAGAAUUAAUUAGCAUCACCAUCAUGCCCCAAUUCCAUUACCCCAUCAUACCCCAUAGUAUGGGGCAAGAUGGUUUUUCAUAAUGUUCUUAUUAAUGGCUAAUUGUUGAAAAAUGUGAUAGGUUGAUUUUCCAAAGAUUGUACCAAAUCAUAGUUAGAUUAAUGACGUAACGUGCCAUCAAUUAAUAAUAGUAAUAAACGUAGUAAUUAUGUUGUA